rnacentral:sRNA from 1 species
AGACCUGAAAAUUGGGCUCAUGAAACCA